CGUGUAGGCGGCCGUCUAAGUCGGGUGUGAAAUCCCUCGGCUCAACCGAGGAAUUGCAUUCGAUACUGGACAGCUAGAGUGCGGUAGGGGCAAGUGGAACUCCAGGUGUAGCGGUGAAAUGCGUAGAUAUCUGGAGGAACGCCGGUGGCGAAAGCGACUUGCUGGCCCGCAACUGACGCUGAGGCGCGAAAGCUAGGGGAGCGAACG
rnacentral:rRNA from 1 species